rnacentral:rRNA from 1 species
CCUACGGGAUGCAGCAGUGAGGAAUAUUGGUCAAUGGACGCAAGUCUGAACCAGCCAUGCCGCGUGCAGGAAGACGGCUCUAUGAGUUGUAAACUGCUUUUGUACGAGGGUAAACGCAGAUACGCGUAUCUGUCUGAAAGUAUCGUACGAAUAAGGAUCGGCUAACUCCGUGCCAGCAGCCGCGGUAUACGGAGGAUUCAAGCGUUUUCCGGAUUUUUUGGGUUUAAAGGGGGCGUAGGCGGUCGGAUAAGUUAGAGGUGAAAACCCGAGGCCCAACUUCGGAAUUGACUCUGAUACUGUUCGGAUAGAGAGUAGUUGCGGUAGGCGGAAUGUAUGGUGGAGCGGUGAAAUGCUUAGAGAUCAUACAGAACACCGAUUGCGAAGGCAGCUUACCAAGCUACUUCUGACGUUGAGGCACGAAAGCGUGGGGAGCAAACAGGAUUAGAUACCCUUGUAGUC